AUUAGUUAGUUUAAAGCAACAAUAUUAGUUUGUGGACCUAACGAAUUUCGCUAGUC
rnacentral:tRNA from 1 species